UGGCCCGUCAGAAGUGGCUGUCCGCCAGGACUCCUCUCAGCUCACCUCCCUGAAGAUUCCUGGCUCUACAGAAACAGGAAAGGGCGUCUGGAAAUUGGAUGAGAUGUUCGUUUAGCGGGCAGCUGGUCUGGGGCCGAUAUGAAUUGCGUUUCCCCACGCCAGAAAAGGUCAAGCCCCCUCGCCUUGACAGAGUGCAUCAGCCUAUUGAGUGGCGCUUUAGUCCAUUUACCAGCAACCAAUGGCACGGCGGCGCAUGGGAGAGAGUGAGGCACAAAAACUCUGUGUAGUAAAGAGAAAAGAAUGACAACACGUCAGAUAUAAAUUCAUUGUUUCUCAUCACCCAGCUGGGGCAGGAAUGGCUGGGAUGGGGGGAGUGGGAGAGGAAUACUGCCAUCUGAGUGGGCUUUGCAUAUGUGAGAAAAGAGAUGAGCACCCCUCCUUUACCAGCAGUGAUACAAAAUCUGACUUUGGUGCAAAUGUUUAAAACUAAAACACAAAAAAUAGGUAAUUGUGGGAAUUUGGUUAAAAGAAUUAUACAGUAGAGCCGCUUUACUCUAAUUUAUCAAGUAACAGAGUGGUUCUCAAACCAUAAGGGUUUUAAAACUUUACCCCCUUUAUUGACACCUAUAACCAUAGAAAAAUCAUUAAAGAAAAUAAAAGAGGUGUAUGUGAAGUAGUGUAGUCAGUGUCAAGAAAGUUGAUAAGAAAUCCAUUAGCAAACAGUUCAGUGUUCUUCCUGGUGGAUUUUAUUUUUUGACAUUUUGGUUUUAUGAUAUUGUCAAUCUCCCAGCAGCCAAAAUCUUACUGGUUUUAAACAGAAUUGGAAAGACACUGGCAUUUCAUUAGUGUGUACCAUUAGAAAAUAAGUCAAACCAAAUAACAAAAUCUUAAAGAAACAGCAAUAAGGUUAUUAAUCUAAU